GACGAACCGUGCGAACGUUGUUCGGAAUCACUGGGCUUAAAGGGCGCGUAGGCGGCUUCGAAAGUCGGGGGUGAAAUCUUUCGGCUCAACCGGAAAAGUGCCCCCGAUACUGCGGAGCUCGAGGGGGAUAGGGCGGACGGGAACUUCCGGUGGGAGCGGUGAAAUGCGUUGAUAGUCGGAAGGAACGCCGGUGGCGAAAGCGGUCCGACUGGG
rnacentral:rRNA from 1 species